rnacentral:rRNA from 1 species
CAAUAGCGUAUAUUUAAGUUGUUGCAGUUAAAAAGCUCGUAGUUGGAUUUCGGUUAAGAGCGACCGGUCCGCCGUUUGGUGUGCACUGGUUGGUUUUAACUUCCUGUAGAGGACGUGCUCUGGGUUUAACGACCUGGACUCGGAGUCUACGUGGUUACUUUGAAAAAAUUAGAGUGUUCAAAGCGGGCUUACGCUUGAAUAUUUCAGCAUGGAAUAGCACUAUAGGACUCCUGUCCUAUUUCGUUGGUCUCGGGACGGGAGUAAUGAUUAAGAGGAACAGUUGGGGGCAUUCGUAUUUCAUUGUCAGAGGUGAAAUUCUUGGAUUUAUGAAAGACGAACUUCUGCGAAAGCAUUUGCCAAGGAUGUUUUCAUUA